UGUGCUCUCUAGUCCAUUGAAGUUACAAUACUCAGUCAUAAACUUUGCCGACAGUUGGAUCAUAGCACGCUACAUAAUGUUACGUAUUUUCUAUAGGUGUGAAAUCCGAUAUGACAACAAAACUAACUUUCUUCAAGAUGAAUAACGAACAUCACUAAUUCCAACAAACGUUCUGGCCCCUAUCCACUCUUACUUCUCUGCCAGACUAAACACACAUUAAUUGUUGAUCAUAGACGUAUUUGAUCUAUAAGUAGACCAUGUCCGCAACAAGGUUGGAUUACUUGUGCAAAGUGGACAAAGAGCUGAAAGAAGCUGAGAGAUUAGAAAAUGUGAACCCUGUCCAGUACAAGCAUGAACUGAGGCGUCUGCUGAGUAGUGUUGAGCGUUACAAGAAGAGCAUGGACAGAACUGACCAGGAAACAGAUGGCGCCAGGAACAGAGCCAUGUACCAAGCGGUCAUGCUCAAGGCCUCGGCACUGUCCCUUAACAUACAGAAUACUCUUAGCGAUCUGCAAGAAAAGUCCGACAACUCAGCUGACAUUGUCAACUGGUUCCUAGACUUUGCUCGGGGUCAUGUGUAUAUAGUGGCUGCUAUAACUGUGUGUCUUAUCAUUUGUCUAUUAAUACUUUCUUGAAAUUAUGUGUGUACUGUAUCUGAUGUUUUACAGUAAGGAUGACCUUGGUCUAAAAAGAAACAUUUAAAAUUACUGUAAACUAUUUAUGACAUGUUUUAAUGCUGCCGAAGAGAGAUUUUUUUUAAAAAAAGAUGUUCUUGUCUGUUAUUCAAUAAAACAUAUGUAUGAAUCAUAUAAAACAUUCUA
rnacentral:sRNA from 1 species